CCUUGUUUUGGAAGCUAAGCAGGUUUGGUCCUCAUUAGUAUUUGGGUGGGAGACCACCAGGGAGUAACAUGUCUAGGCAGGGC
rnacentral:rRNA from 1 species